GUAAAUGUUAGCUCACUUGGUUAGAGCGUGGUGCUGAUAAUGCCAAGGUUGCAAGUUCGAUAUUCGAUAUUCCUGCAUUGCA